CCCUAGCUGAACCCUUAUUGGACACUCAUGGCUGCCUUCUUCUUCUUCUUCAGCUAGACUACAACAAAAUACCUAGAGAGCAAAAAACGGACCAGCCGCCCAAGACCCCUCCUCUCUAUCGCUUAACCAUCAUCGACACUACCAAAAAACCAUCCAGCCGCCCAUACUCCACCAACACUAAGAGACCAAGCUCCUAGCGUCGUCACACCAUCCCAACCCAAAACCGCCACCGACCUCAUCUUCUCCAAAACCAGUAUGCCCCUGCCUCCAGAACUCUUUUCACCAAACCAGUCGCAAACCAUCCCAUUUGCCCCAUCUCCCUCACUUUACAAACCGCCGGCAACCAACCCUAACUCCAUCACCGCCAUAGCCAAGCCCCAUCAUCUACACCUUCACUAACCACGCCACCAGCAGCUGAUUGCCCUAGCCCCUACUCCAAAUGCACAGCCUCUGGCAGCAGCCCAACACAAACGACCCAUCUCAAAACCACCAAAUCAGCCGCAACACAACCACCACAGUUGGGAACACGGACAAAAAUCUGGACAGAAGUUAAAAAUGGAGUUAAGUCGAGACUGAUUCGAGGUUCAUCCUGGGUUUGUCGCAUUUUUGAGUUCAACGUCGCCUCACGAUUAAUUGUCAAAUUCGUUUGAGGUAUGGAUCAAUUUGCUAGAGUUUGAGCAUGACAAAUACCCCAGGACCAUUCUAGUCAAGACCAUUGCAUGCACGAGCUGCUUGAGGAAACAUUUUAUUUUUUUAGUCUAUUUUAUGUUGUCUUUAAUUAUUAGUCUUGUACAGUUAUAUUGAGUCUGUCAGUCUAGUUAAGAUUUUCGAGUCUUUUGUUAUAGUACUUCAUGUAUUGUAUUUGAAAAAAAGAAGUUAUAAAUGGAAAAUUCAAAAAGA